UAGGGCUCUUUCGGGUCUUAUAAUUGGAAUGAGUACAAUUUAAAUCUCUUAACGAGGAACAAUUGGAGGGCAAGUCUGGUGCCAGCAGCCGCGGUAAUUCCAGCUCCAAUAGCGUAUAUUAAAAUUGUUGCAGUUAAAAAGCUCGUAGUUGAAUUUCUGCUGCAUUUCAUUUCUCUUUCUGAGUUUGUUUUUGCGGCUUAUUUCGGUUUGAUUUUUUCUUUCCGGAUGAUUACUUUGAGAAAAUUAGAGUGCUCAAAGCAGGCUUUUGCCUUGAAUAGUUUAGCAUGGAAUAAUAAAGUAGGACUUUGGUUCUAUUUUGUUGGUUUUAGGUACCAAAGUAAUGGUUAAUAGGAACAGUUGGGGGCAUUCGUAUUUAACUGUCAGAGGUGAAAUUCUUAGAUUUGUUAAAGACGAACUACUGCGAAAGCAUAUGCCAAGGAUGUUUUCAUUAAUCAAGAAC
rnacentral:rRNA from 1 species